GUUGUAUGGUUAAGUGACUAAGCGUACACGGUGGAUGCCUGGGCAGUCAGAGGCGAUGAAGGACGUACUAACUUGCGAUAAGCGCAGAUAAGGCAGUAAGAGCCGUUUGAGUCUGCGAUUUCCGAAUGGGGAAACCCAACUGCAUAAGCAGUUACUGUUAACUGAAUACAUAGGUUAACAGAGCAAACCGGGGGAACUGAAACAUCUAAGUACCCCGAGGAGAAGAAAUCAACCGAGAUUCCGGUAGUAGCGGCGAGCGAACCUGGAUUAGCCCUUAAGCACUCGGUGAAGUAGGUGAACAAGCUGGAAAGCUUGGCGAUACAGGGUGAUAGCCCCGUAACCGACGCUUCAUCGAGCGUGAAAUCGAGUAGGGCGGGACACGUGAUAUCCUGUCUGAAUAUGGGGGGACCAUCCUCCAAGGCUAAAUACUCCUGACUGACCGAUAGUGAACCAGUACCGUGAGGGAAAGGCGAAAAGAACCCCUGUGAGGGGAGUGAAAUAGAACCUGAAACCGUGUACGUACAAGCAGUAGGAGCACCUUCGUGGUGUGACUGCGUACCUUUUGUAUAAUGGGUCAGCGACUUAUAUUCAGUGGCAAGGUUAACCGUAUAGGGGAGCCGUAGCGAAAGCGAGUCUUAACUGGGCGCUCAGUCUCUGGAUAUAGACCCGAAACCGGGUGAUCUAGCCAUGGGCAGGUUGAAGGUUGAGUAACAUCAACUGGAGGACCGAACCGACUAAUGUUGAAAAAUUAGCGGAUGACUUGUGGCUAGGGGUGAAAGGCCAAUCAAACUCGGAGAUAGCUGGUUCUCCCCGAAAGCUAUUUAGGUAGCGCCUCGGACGAAUACUACUGGGGGUAGAGCACUGUUAAGGCUAGGGGGUCAUCCCGACUUACCAACCCUUUGCAAACUCCGAAUACCAGUAAGUACUAUCCGGAGACACACGGCGGGUGCUAACGUCCGUCGUGGAGAGGGAAACAACCCAGACCGCCAGCUAAGGUCCAAAGUAUUGCUAAGUGGAAACGAUGUGGGAAGGCUCAGACAGCUAGGAUGUUGGCUUAGAAGCAGCCAUCAUUUAAAGAAAGCGUAAUAGCUCACUAGUCGAGUCGGCCUGCGCGGAAGAUGUAACGGGCUAAGCAAUACACCGAAGCUGCGGCAAUGUCUUUUAGACAUUGGGUAGGGAGCGUUCUGUAAGCCGUUGAAGGUGAAUCGUAAGGUUUGCUGGAGGUAUCAGAAGUGCGAAUGCUGACAUGAGUAACGACAAAGGGGGUGAAAAACCUCCUCGCCGGAAGACCAAGGUCCUGUCCAACGUUAAUCGGGCAGGGUGAGUCGACCCCUAAGGUGAGGCCGAAAGGCGUAAUCGAUGGGAAACGGGUUAAUAUUCCCGUACUUCUGACUAUUGCGAUGGGGGACGGAGAAGGCUAGGUGGCCAGGCGACGGUUGUCCUGGUUCAAGUGCGUAGGCUUGAGAGUUAGGUAAAUCCGGCUCUCUCUAAGGCUGAGACACGACGUCGAGCUACUACGGUAGUGAAGUCAUUGAUGCCAUGCUUCCAGGAAAAGCCUCUAAGCUUCAGAGAUAGUCAGGAAUCGUACCCCAAACCGACACAGGUGGUCGGGUAGAGAAUACCAAGGCGCUUGAGAGAACUCGGGUGAAGGAACUAGGCAAAAUGGUACCGUAACUUCGGGAGAAGGUACGCUCUUGAUGGUGAAGUCCCUCGCGGAUGGAGCUGACGAGAGUCGCAGAUACCAGGUGGCUGCAACUGUUAUUAAAAACACAGCACUGUGCAAAAUCGCAAGAUGACGUAUACGGUGUGACGCCUGCCCGGUGCCGGAAGGUUAAUUGAUGGGGUUAGCGCAAGCGAAGCUCUUGAUCGAAGCCCCGGUAAACGGCGGCCGUAACUAUAACGGUCCUAAGGUAGCGAAAUUCCUUGUCGGGUAAGUUCCGACCUGCACGAAUGGCGUAAUGAUGGCCACGCUGUCUCCACCCGAGACUCAGUGAAAUUGAAAUCGCUGUGAAGAUGCAGUGUACCCGCGGCUAGACGGAAAGACCCGUGAACCUUUACUACAGCUUGGCACUGAACAUUGAACCUACAUGUGUAGGAUAGGUGGGAGGCUAUGAAGACGUGACGCCAGUUGGCGUUGGAGCCGUCCUUGAAAUACCACCCUUGUAUGUUUGAUGUUCUAACUUAGACCCAUUAUCUGGGUUGAGGACAGUGCCUGGUGGGUAGUUUGACUGGGGGCGGUCUCCUCCCAAAGAGUAACGGAGGAGCACGAAGGUGGGCUAAUCACGGUUGGACAUCGUGAGGUUAGUGCAAUGGCAUAAGCCCGCUUAACUGCGAGAAUGACGGUUCGAGCAGGUGGCGAAAGCAGGUCAUAGUGAUCCGGUGGUUCUGUAUGGAAGGGCCAUCGCUCAACGGAUAAAAGGUACUCCGGGGAUAACAGGCUGAUACCGCCCAAGAGUUCAUAUCGACGGCGGUGUUUGGCACCUCGAUGUCGGCUCAUCACAUCCUGGGGCUGAAGUCGGUCCCAAGGGUAUGGCUGUUCGCCAUUUAAAGUGGUACGCGAGCUGGGUUUAGAACGUCGUGAGACAGUUCGGUCCCUAUCUGCCGUGGGCGUUGGAAGAUUGAAGGGGGCUGCUCCUAGUACGAGAGGACCGGAGUGGACGAACCUCUGGUGUUCGGGUUGUGUCGCCAGACGCAUUGCCCGGUAGCUAAGUUCGGAAUUGAUAAGCGCUGAAAGCAUCUAAGCGCGAAGCGAGCCCUGAGAUGAGUCUUCCCUGACAGUUUAACUGUCCUAAAGGGUUGUUCGAGACUAGAACGUUGAUAGGCAGGGUGUGUAAGCGUUGUGAGGCGUUGAGCUAACCUGUACUAAUUGCCCGUGAGGCUUAACCAUACAACACCCAAGGGGUUUUGUA
rnacentral:rRNA from 1 species